UGAGCAAUCUGCCCUUCUCUUCGGAAUAAGCGUUGGAAACGACGUCUAAUGCCGAAUACGACCUCCUUUCGCAUGAUCGGAGGUGGAAAGCUCCGGCGGAGAAGGAUGAGCUCGCGGCCUAUCAGCUAGUUGGUGUGGGUAAUGGCCCACCAAGGCGACGGCGGGUAGCCGGCCUGAGAGGGUGACCGGCCACACUGGGACUGAGACACGGCCCAGACCUCCGUACGGGAGGNAGCG
rnacentral:rRNA from 1 species